rnacentral:lncRNA from 1 species
UCCUGGCCAAUAGGAAGCCAAGCAUUGGACCCGUGGCGCCAAAUCCUGUCCUCCCCGCUUUCAGAAGCUAGUCACCCUUUUAUACUCAACUCCAUGUUACUGGGGGGGCUUCUGCUAGAUUCCACCAACAGGACGAACAAGAGGGAAACAAAGGCAAGAGGAAGAAGGGACUUGCUCCAUUCUAAUCAGCCUUAUUGCACCCCUCAGAGAUCACAGCAGCAGUCAGUGCUCUCCUCAGAGAUCUGAAUUCUACUUUCAUGCGGCCCCUCCCCUGAGCUCCUGAGAUAGCCAAUGUUUGAGCCACCUCCUCAGAAGUUUGAGCCUCAACACCGUGGGAUCCCUUCUUUGUGCUCCAGAGAUCCAGUAACAGCCAGCCAUCACCCUCUCUUCAUUCUUCAUAGGCCUGAACUAAGGUGUUCAGGGCCCUCCUUCAAGCUUUUAGGUUCUGAUGACUCCAACCACUUCUUUUGUUCCAUCCUUUCCUAGCUCUAGGAAUGGUAGCUGCUACCUGCAGUGAUUACCUGUUACCUUUUAUAAUUCCUUUUGACCAAUUUCCCAUAUUAAAAUAUUUCUCAAUAACUAAUGUGAUUUCUGUUUUCCUGACUGGACCCUGAUUUUAAAAUGCACACAAAAGCCAGGUGCAGUGGCUUAUGCCUGUAAUCCCACCACUGUGGGAGGCCGAGGCAGGUGGAUCACCUGAAGUCAGGAGUUCGAGACCAGCCUGGCCAACAUGGCAAAAACCCAUCGCUACUAAAAAUACGAAAAUUAGCUGGGCAGUGGUGGCAGGUGCCUGCAAUCCCAGCUACUUGGAAGGCUGAGGCACGAGAAUCUCUUGAACCCGGGAGGCGAAGGUUGCAGUAAGCCAAGAUCAUGCCACUG